rnacentral:rRNA from 1 species
AACGAACGCUGGCGGCAUGCCUAACACAUGCAAGUCGAACGGGAUCCAGGCUUCGGCCUGGUGAGAGUGGCGGACGGGUGAGUAACACGUGGGAACCUGCCUUUUGGUUCGGGAUAACCGCGGGAAACUGCGGCUAAUACCGGAUGCUCCCGAGAGGGGAAAGAUUUAUCGCCAGAAGAGGGGCCCGCGUCCGAUUAGGUAGUUGGUGAGGUAAUGGCUCACCAAGCCGACGAUCGGUAGCUGGUCUGAGAGGAUGAUCAGCCACACUGGGACUGAGAUACGGCCCAGACUCCUACGGGAGGCAGCAGUGGGAAUAUUGGACAAUGGGGGCAACCCUGAUCCAGCAAUGCCGCGUGAGUGAUGAAGGCCUUAGGGUUGUAAAGCUCUUUUGUCCGGGAAGAUAAUGACUGUACCGGAAGAAUAAGCCCGGCUAACUCGUGCCAGCAGCCGCGGUAAU